UCCCCGUUAUCCGAGGCGGUUUCGCUAGAGUGCCCAGCUUGACCUGAUGGCAACUAACGAUAAGGGUUGCGCUCGUUGCGGGACUUAACCCAACAUCCCACGACACGAGCUGACGACAGCCAUGCAGCACCUGUGUUACGGCUCUCUUUCGAGCACUCCCAAAUCUCUCUGGGAUUCCGUACAUGUCAAGGGUAGGUAAGGUUUUUCGCGUUGCAUCGAAUUAAUCCACAUCAUCCACCGCUUGUGCGGGUCCCCGUCAAUUCCUUUGAGUUUUAAUCUUGCGACCGUACUCCCCAGGCGGUCUACUUCACGCGUUAGCUGCGUUACCAAGUCAAUUAAGACCCGACAACUAGUAGACAUCGUUUAGGGCGUGGACUAC
rnacentral:misc_RNA from 1 species